AUUGAACGCUGGCGGCAUGGCUAAAGCAUGCAAGUCGAACGAGAACCACCUUCGGGUGGGGACAGUGGCGAAAGGGCGAGGAAUACGAUCGAACGUACCCCGAGGUGGGGGAUAGCGUCGGGAAACUGGCGGUAAUACCCCAUGUGCUCUUCGGAGGAAAGGUUUACUGCCUUGGGAGCGGCGAUCGUCCUAUCAGGUUGUUGGUGAGGUAACGGCUCACCAAGCCGAAGACGGGUAGCGGGUGUGAGAGCAUGACCCGCCGCAUCGGGACUGAGACACUGCCCGGACUCCUACGGGAGGCUGCAGCGACGAAUCUUCCGCAAUGCGCGAAAGCGUGACGGAGCAAUGCCGCGUGCAGGAUGAAGCGGCUUCGCCGUGUAAACUGCUGUCAGGUCCUCGAAACACUGAUCAGGACCAAAGGAAGGGCCGGCUAAACUCGUGCCAGCAGCCGCGGUAAUACGAGUGGCCCAAGCGUUAUUCGGAAUCACUGGGCUUAAAGCGUG
rnacentral:rRNA from 1 species